ACGAACGCUGGCGGCGUGCUUAACACCUGCAAGUCGAACGGUGAAGCGCCUUCCUUUUUGGUGGGUGUGGAUGAGUGGCGAACGGGUGAGUAACACGUGAGUAACCUGCCCCCUUCUUCUGGAUAACCGCAUGAAAGUGUGGCUAAUACGGGAUAUUCUGGGUCUGUCGCAUGAUGGGUCUGGGAAAGAUAUUGUUUCGGUGGGGGAUGGGCUCGCGGCCUAUCAGCUUGUUGGUGGGGUGAUGGCCUACCAAGGCGGUGACGGGUAGCCGGCCUGAGAGGGUGGACGGUCACACUGGGACUGAGACACGACCCAGACUCCUACGGGAGGCAGCAGUGGGGAAUAUUGCACAAUGGGCGCAAGCCUGAUGCAGCGACGCCGCGUGAGGGAUGGAGGCCUUCGGGUUGUGAACCUCUUUCGCCAGUGAAGCAGGCCUGCCUCGUUUGUGGGUGGGUUGACGGUAGCUGGAUAAGAAGCGCCGGCUAACUACGUG
rnacentral:rRNA from 1 species